CGAAACCAGACCUCUCCCUGUUACUCAUCCCCUUUCAUUCACCGGCUUCAACUCCCCAUUCGCCGGAUACCCGUGCAGUAGCCAGCACGAGCUUUUGAUGUGUCCCACAUGUCUACAAUGGCAACAGGUCUUGCUCGUUACUCCCGAGCCUCUUCCGCCUCCCUGUCCACCGAAAGAUUGAGUGCUGCUGCUUCCCUGUUUCUCCUGUUUAAAACCCGAAAGCUUGCUCAAGAACACUGCUCCUUCUGGAGCAGUAUUUUCGUGCGAUAAAGUCACGAUAUUCUGCCUCUCCUCGUGCAAAAUCAUCGCAUAGACUUUAUUUAUGGAAUGAGCCAACUCGUGGCUAAGGAUGUUGGACCUCACUGUGAAUUCGGACCCUAGACCCAUCAGAAAUUGAUGGGUUUUCUCCCUUUCUGUUUGUGCUACGUACAGUCUGGUGGCAGAGCAUGUGCAUGCCGGUAUCUCCAGAUCUUUCCCAUAGGUUUUCCCACAAUGCCUGAGCCACUAUUGCGCAGGCCACAUUGGAUUGAAGUUUCGAUUCCAGUGUGUUGAAUAUCCAGGAAAUCACCAAAGCGUUGCAAACAUCCCACCUUGCUUGGUUUGGAUCACCCUCCGAUGGCCUUGGCACCGUGCUAUCAAUUAUUCCUACCUUGUUCUUUGCCGUCAAUGCAGUGAGCAUAGCCCUCGACUAGGUGAGAUAAUUUGACCCAUUUAGCUUGUAAUUGAUCAAACUCGGACUUGUGUAGUCUGAUGGAUUGACAAUAUAAAUCGAAAAAGAAUCAUGUUCGACACC